GACGAGGGAUCCUAGCGUUGUUCGGAAUCAUUGGGCGUAAAGCGGGUGUAGGCGGACUUAUAAGUCAGGUGUGAAAUCCCAGGGCUCAACCCUGGAAGUGCACUUGAUACUGUAAGUCUUGAGUGUGGUUGAGGCUAUUAGAAUUCCUGGUGUAGUGGUGAAAUACGUAGAUAUCAGGAGGAAUACCGGAGGCGAAGGCGGAUAGCUGGGCCAACACUGACGCUGAGACCCGAAAGCGUGGGGAUCAAACAGG
rnacentral:rRNA from 1 species